GCUCCAGUGGCGCAAUCGGUUAGCGCGCCGUACUUAUAUAACAGUAUCGGAGAUAUGCGGAGGUUGUGAGUUCGAGCCUCACCUGGAGCA
rnacentral:tRNA from 1 species